rnacentral:rRNA from 1 species
GUGGGGAAUAUUGGGCAAUGGGCGCAAGCCUGACCCAGCAACGCCGCGUGAAGGAAGAAGGCUUUCGGGUUGUAAACUUCUUUUACCAGGGACGAAACAAAUGACGGUACCUGGUGAAUAAGCCACGGCUAACUACGUGCCAGCAGCCGCGGUAAUACGUAGGUGGCGAGCGUUAUCCGGAUUUAUUGGGUGUAAAGGGCGUGUAGGCGGGACAGCAAGUCAGAUGUGAAAACCAGAGGCUCAACCUCUGGCCUGCAUUUGAAACUGUUGUUCUUGAGUGUCGGAGAGGUAAUCGGAAUUCCGUGUGUAGCGGUGAAAUGCGUAGAUAUACGGAGGAACACCAGUGGCGAAGGCGGAUUGCUGGACGAUAACUGACGCUGAGGCGCGAAAGCGUGGGGAGCAAACAGGAUUAGAUACCCCGGUAGUCC